GGGGGUGAAGAUUGCGCGCCAAAUCUCCCGCCAAAUGUCUCAGUCUCGCUAUUUCUCCCCGCCAUUCCAUGCCCUCGUCAGUCUCGGCCGCCGUUGCACGCGUUCGCCGGUAGCUGCCCCUUGCCUCUCCCACGAGGGCCACGAUGUCUAGUGGAAGGACAUCUGUUUUGAAGAGGACGACCACAUCGGCUUCGAAGAGCAAGGCGACUGCAGCUCCAGCAGCGGUGAUGGCGGCGGCGACAAGGAGACUUCCUCGGGGAAGCGGCUCGGCCCUCGCACCCACCCGCACCGGUCUCAGCAACGACGCGGCGGCAACUUUCAUCGGAUGCGGAAGCAGCUCGGCCCCAGCACCCAACCCCUCUGGUCAUAUCAACGGCAUGGCAGCAGCAGAUUUGAUUCAUCUCCAAUCCCUCGCAGACGACAUCAACUGUUCAUCAGUCCAUGGCAGACGAGGAUACCCAGUCGCUGCUGGUUAUUCACAUGGUGCGGUGGUGAUGGAUUCCUCCCUGUGAGGAUUUGGGGUUGUUGGCUCUUCACAGGGUAGAUGUGGCUCCAUCAGUCCAAUUUCACCUCCAUUUGGGCAUCAUUCAAGUUGGGAUACAGCAUGACUUUGCAGUUACGUAGCUGACUGAAUUCAUCGAACCUAGACACCGCUACAACAAGAAAGGAAGAGGCGUGUGCACGUAUACUCUGUUCAAGGUUGAAUUAUCCAGUCUGCCACUAGUUAUUUUCUUUGGAGGUUUCUUUCACCGUCGACCUCCAGGACAAAACAGGGCCAUUGCUGCCAUUCUUCAGAGAACACAAUUGACGCCUCAUUAUUAUUUCCUUGGUUCAUAUUCAGCACGCGUCGCCAAGUUAAGCUGCUGGAAGUUUCAAUUACAGCUUUCCCUCUAAUAUUCGUUUUUUUCGUAUAGCUACUGUAUUAAAUUUGUUAUGGAUGAAACGAGGAUGGUAUUAUAAAAAUCUAUGAAUGUGCUGCAUAUAAUUAUGCGCUACUCAGCUGCAACUUCACAUGUUAGGAACCGCCAAUUUGUAAGAAAAAAGAAAUGAUUCCACCCGGCCUUAUAUAUAGCCGAAGUUCGUUGCUUCUGAUA